GGCUGGGCGGGAGGAGCAGGGGGGAGUCGGGAGGGCGCCCGCAGGCGGCCGGCGGGGGGCGACGAGGAGGAAGCGGCGCGGGCUGGCGAGCGGCGAGGCUGAAAAGACGACGCACUUGGGAAAUGGAGGGAGCGCAGCAGUGGGACGCGGGCGGGGGAGGGAGCGCCGCGGGGCCGGAGGAGCGGGGCGCACGGGCGCGGGGCCGCCGGGAAGGAGCCGGCCGCCGGCGGCAUCGCGCGCUGCUCCUCCCCGCGCCGCCCUCACCUCGCGUCUCUCGCCUUCCUCUUUCCCUCGGCCCGGCUCGCCCGGCGCCAGGCGCUCCUCCCCUUCCCCCCCGGCGCUCCGCCCGCCCCUCCCGGCCGCCGUUCCCGCCGCGGUGGGCCGCCCGGGGCUUCCGACGCGGGGGCGGCCGGGGUCCGCGGCUCCCUCCCCGGGAGGCGCUGAGGCUGCGCCCGCUCCCCGCCGCGGCGGCCCGCCUCCCCCGGCGGCGGAAGACGCUGCCUUCCUCUUGCUGCGGGGCCUGCCGUGCGGGCCGGUGCCAGCAAGAGCAAGGGUGUGUCUGCACCGCCCUAAGAUGGCCUUUAAGGUACACUUUUGAGAGCUCGCCUGGAGACUUUCCACAAACACAGGAUGCGCCCCACGCACCCACAUCGGGGAGGGGUGUGUAGGGUUUUUUUAUUUUUAUUUUUUUGAGUAUUGAACCUGGAAGGAAGACAGGCUGGCCCACCAGGGCCUCUGGGUGCAAUAAACCCGAAAAAGGCUGGAGGCGGCGGGCGGCGUGCAGAGCCGCGGAAGAGCUGUUCCCAAAGGAAGGAGGGCGCACGGGGCGGGGCCGGGGGUGGGGGGCAUGUCUGGUUCCUACCUUUCUGUCAUUGGGGCAAUGAUAAGACCGGGUCCCCGACCCCCGACCCCAGCGGCGCCAAAGCCUGGUUGAGAGAGUUUAUACAAAAUAACCCCCCAUAGUAUCCAUUCAUGGGGUAAAAUGACUAGGUCAUGGCGAUACCUCUGGGAGAGAACCUGCCCCCGCAUCUCGGGGCUUGCGCUGUGUCUGCGUUUAGUAGGUCUGUGAAGGUCCUUCGGGCUCCUCCGUGUGCAGUGAGUGGGGGGGGGGGGGGGGGGGAGGGAGGUGGCACCCUGUCUCCAUGGGUUAUGAAGGAGGUGAUGGGAACAGCUUGGCUGACCUGGUAGGGAGAAGUGGGAACGCACAACUUGUAUCUUUUAAAAGCACAAAAGGUGGAGGGCUGGCCCAGGGCAAGCAGCUGCAGGCCAAGAGCCUGUUUUUCCUCACGGUGGAAACUGGGUUAGUGGCCUGUGUUUGUACCAACCCUAAGUCGUUCUUGAGAGCUCAUUCCGCUAUCUCUAAACGGCUCAAAUUUAAAAAAAAAAAAAAAAGGUUAAUUUCCUGAGCCAGAUAUAACUGAUUUGUGAGGGUUAGAGGUCAUAGAUAUGUACCCGAGGCCUAGGAAGGUGAAAUGACUUGCUCAAGGUCAAAUGGUUCAUUAGUGGCACAACAGAUGUCCCUAAUUCGAGAACAGCCCGCGGCCUUCCCAGCCUGAACACACACUCGCUUCUUAACACUGCCUCAUAUGCAGAACCCUGCAGUCAUUCUUCAAACGAAACCGGGGUGUUUGUGAUAUUGAAUGGACCAGAGAAGAUGUGUGAUAUAUCUGUGCCUCUUUCGUAUCCACACGCAUGCACAGUAGUGGUAGAGACGGCAAUACACCUGGAUUGUAGAAGGUUGAUCGGGAUGCCUUAUGGAUCCUAAUAAAAUGUCUAGUGGCUAGCAAACACGAAAUUGAAUUACAACUGGUUAACACAAGAUGAUCUGCUUAUUUUCUGGGCCGUAUUUAGUAUUUUAGAUAGUCUCAUCAUUUGAACAUUAAAGGGUGUGUGUGUGUGUGUGUGUUGGUUCCGAUUUUCCUUGGAUAAAAUUACCCUUUGUUGUCCCCAGUGACUGACUGACUGAUAGUCCAAAUGUUCAGAAGGAUAUUUUAUGCUGAAAUGUUAGGAUUUUUCCACAUGAGGAUUAAAAUGUGGGUGGAGUGGUGACUAAAGCCCUGCUGAUAAUUGGUUAACCAGGAAGCCCGAUGCUGGCAGCUAAUUUUUAAGGUCAUUGUUAAUGUCUUCCCCUCCUCUUCCCACCACCGGUGGGAGCCUAGGUUUUGAUGGCAUUUCAGGUGCUUUUAUUUCUCCUAAAAAAUCAAAUUCCUAAGCUUUUGAUAGGAAAGCCAAAGAACAGCUGAAUCAUUCCUGGGUGAAAUAGGAUUGUGUCCUUUUUUUCAUAGUGGGUGUUUUUGCCAGUGACUUGGCUUAAAUCUGCAGCUCGGCCUGCCACCCACAACUGUUUAGCCAAAAGGUACACAGAAACUCUCUUCUCAAGUUUACGAAAGGUUGGUUUGGGGGGGGGGGGCGGCGGGGUACGCCACCAGGCCCUUGGUGGCCCUUCACGGCAGCCCUCCGUUGUUUGAAUAUUAACUUGUUUACCUAGAAAAGGAAUCCUACCCUGGGAGCAGUGAUUUAAAGGGGAAAAGGUUCAGGUGAAGGUUGCCCAGGGGAUACCCAUGUCAGCAGAAAUCCUGGUCCUACGGUAGCAUUAUCAGCUGCCCUUUUGGAGCUCAACUGGAAAGUGUGACUAAAUCUCCUCUGGCUGCUAUCAAGCUAGUACUUUAGACCGAAAACCGUCAGACAAAGCCCUCGGCGUGCACAGGUGCCCAGGCCUGGCCAGCCACAAGUGCCGCCCUUGGACACUUCUCUAGCGCUGGGGGCAGAGAAGGGGUCGGGUUGCAUCACACCCUUUGCCUGUGAAGUGUUCGGGUGUGUGUGACAGCUCCCUGCUCUGUGCUCUUUCUGUACCCUGUUCUGAGGGUGUAUCCUCUUUGGGCAACUUAAUGUUUAAUUUGUAGUGUUCUCUGCCAGUAAGUUUGUAACAGGCCAGUGACUCACCUUGGGGUGGGAGGGUAGAAAGGGGGAGGUCUGCCUCCUAAAUCUGAGAAUCUGAUUGAGAGUAGGCUAAACCUGACAAUCAAAAAAAGGGGUGGGGGGGGGGUAAAAAAAAAAAUCCAGUAAGCUGUGUAUCCAGAUGAGGGCUAAAAAUUAACAUGCAGACCCCUGGAAGUGUUAUUCCUAAAUUGUCUUUAAAAAUAAAAAGGGGGUUCAGCAUUGUAAAAAGCACAGUAGACUUGGUACGUAUCCAUGCUCCGUCCCAGAACCCCCUUCCAAGUCCCUGUUUCUGAUGAUGGUUAGCAACACAUGGACAGGUAAGUGAGGUUCUGCUCCAAUCCGGCUGUGGUGUUCAGUAUGUCCCAACUUAAGAAAGAAAGAAAAGAAAAAGAGGCUUUGAAAUUUUCGAAGGAUUGUUGUAUGGAAAAGUGAGUAAAAUUAGUUUCAUUCCUUUAAAAACAAAGGGUUUAAGGAAGAAGCCUUUACUUAGAUGGGACCCUCACCCUGAGCCCCAAGAGAAGCCAGCUCUGCUCUGUUCAGCUGAGUGCAGGCAAGUGGGGCUGCGGCUGCUGUUGGGGCUGACAGUGGGCACCGAGAUCAGCUCGUUAUAAACUGGGUUUUCGUGUUAGUCUUCAGCUCUUUCAAAACUAGAGGGCAGCUUUGCUUUCACCCGAAAAACCUAUGAACGACAAGAAUGGGGAGCACCAUUCCUCCCCAAGGGAGAGCUCCGUGGAGGUGUCAUUCGACAUGGCUGGCCUCCUAGGUAAUAGCAUCUUAGCGUUGUCACCUACUUUCACUUUAAAGGAUUUGACGUUUUUAAAAGUCUUUGUAAAAAGUCUUGCAAAAUAAAAUGGGCUUCUCAGCACCACCCCCCUCCUCCUCCCCCCUUGCCGCCCCCCCCCUCCCUGCCUGUGAUGAGAGCGAGGGAGCGGGAGCGAGAACAAGGUGCUGCGGUGCCUCCAUCUCGCUGCCCAGGGCUCUGUGCCAGCCAACAGGCCCAGGAGAAACGCGAGUGUCAGAUCAGAUGGGCGCACAGUAAUCAGAGUGGCUGCGUCUGGGCAGCAAAGCACUGGGCAGAAUGUGCCCUUGUCCCUGCCAGAGCUGUCCAGGCCUGGGUUAUGCUGAGAAGACACAUAAUGUGAAGGCAAAGAGAAUUUUAAAACCCACUGGCUGUUUUGUUUUUUUUUAACUGUCCUUCCUUUCUACAUUUUUUGGAAAAGGAGAGUAACCAGGCCAGGUUUGAACUUUCUCACGUUGCCAUGAAUUGAGUGGAUGAGAGGAAAUGUGUUCUUUGGCUGGAGUCAGAGAGAGACUGUUCUUUGCAUAUGACUCACCUCAUUAGUUGUGCUGAAAUCUGUUGUGCGGAAUCCACAAGACGUUCCUCACAUUUAUGUGGCUGGUGUUGUUGGGAAGAGCAAAUUCUGUCAGAGCAGAGCUGCCUGCGCCGCCCCCCCCCCCCCCCCCCCGUUUUUCUCUGGUUUUUCUCUGGUUUCAUUUGGAUCCUGAGCCAAGGGAAUUCUGGCCAAUAGACCUCAUUCCUUAGUUCCUUUGUGACUUGACAAUGAAUUAUAUCUGAACGUUCAUUAUCUCUGUGUCUGAUUUUAUUCAAACCACGUUUAGUGACAGGUAUUAGAUGCUAUCUGUUGGGGAUCUGAAACGUUGGCCCUUGAUUGCUAUGCUUUGUCUUUGGGACUUGUAUAGGGGGCCCAGCUCAUCAGAAUGCCAGGAUCGGGCCUGUGGGUCUUGGCAUUGGAUGUAUCUGUCCAGCCUGUGAUCUUGGUGAGGGCAGGGGGUUCCAUUGUGUUUUUCUUUUAUCCCCUGAUGCGUCCAUGGCACCAUACUUGUUUCAUUGUUUCAGCUCACAUGACAUGUCCCCAGGGCCUUGCUGCCUUUUCUCUUCUUGAGCCUGGCAGCUAAUUCACUUCCUGCCCCGCCUGCAGGGCACCAGUGAGGAGUGGUCAGGGCUUCUUGGGAGUGGAUUCGGGCCACUUGGAGCACUGGUGCCAGCUCUCUCUCAAACCCACACUCCCGUUGAGUAGCCCUGGCCCAGGAGUGGUCUGGCAGAGUGAAAAGGGGUGCGGAGGGCAGCGGAGGGAGGGGGAGCAGGCAGCAGGUUUGAACUGCAGCCCAGGUGCCUAAGGUAGAGGUAGAAUGCCCCACGGAAAAGAAGGGGUUUGCUUUUUUAAAUGGAAACAAAAAACAGAAAGGGAGUAAAUCUAAAGUAUAUUGAUACUUCAGCAAUUUUAGAUUCUUUUUGGUCCUGGGUGACGUGCUAUGGCAGGCUGGCUUAGGAAAUGUACAUGCAGGCAGAGUGGGGAGGCAGGCAAAGCGUCUUGGAUUUGGGGCUGAGGGAACCCGCAGGCCAGGGCCAGAGCUGUUUCCUUUGUCUGCUGUUGGCUGGUGGGCUGCAGCCCAGGGUUGGGGUACUGGGCUGGGCUCACCGGGGACGCACGCACUGUGUGGCCUCUGUGACCUGCUCCAGCGGUGAGAGAGGGGCUGUGGAGGCAGGGUGUCCCUCGGGUCUCUUCUGCAGAGAGCAGCGUCCCUUCAGUGCAGUGUGUGGCAGUGCGGGUCCUCCCCCACCCGGGCAGUCCUCGGGUACCUGGCUAGAAAAUUCCUUAUACAUAAGCUAACUGCGGAUUUAGUCAUUUGGUGGGGAGCAAUUGGAGGUCUAACGAACAGGGAGUGAUCAUUUCUCAUAUGUUCUGUAAGUUCUUUUCUUCUCUUGAAUUUAUUGGGGUGACAUUGGCUAAUACAAUUAUAGGUUUAAGGUAUACAGUUCUAUAAUACAUCAUCUGUAUAUUGUAUUGUGUGUUCACCACCCCAAGUCAUGUCUCUUUCUAUCACCAUGUAUCCCCCACACCUUUUUCUGUAAGUUUUAAUUGAUGAGAUGAAAUAAGAAAAUACUCAAUGAGGUGGUUGUUUUUUUUUUUUAAGAUUUAAAAGGAAUUUUCAUAGUAAGUGAGGAAUAGCAGUAAUUUGUUAAUUAAAACCAAGUUAUAAUAAUUUUUUGUAGCUCUUUGCAGAGUACGCGCACAUAGACAGUUGACGAUUGGAACCCCCAACCACCACCUGUUACAUAAAGGAGGGCUGUAGCCCACACCACUGCCUCUAGGCGCCAGCAGGGCCAAACACCAUCCCCCAGCUUCCCUGCUAAAGCGGAAUUUGCCAAAUUGGACUCAGAGGUGCCGAUUCUGUGACCCUCCUGGUCAGCUUUGGAGGGGCUGCGUUUGGGGCCGUUACUCCUCCCGCCCUCUGGCUCAUCCGGAAUAUUUGUGGGUUUUGGAAGCUGCAGUUCCCAGGCGUUUUGUUUCAGAUUUGAGGGCAGCCCCUUGAUUAACCAGCCUUAUCGGGACGCCUUCUCUGGGCUCCUUAGUGGUUACACCAGGCGUUGCUCCCAUUCUAGGGAUGAGGAAACUGAGGCUGGCGGUUCCAGGCCCGGUAGCUGGCGUAGGCAGAGUCGGAAUGACUUGGGGCUGCCUUAUAAGCCAUUAUCAAAGGGCGUAGACAGCUCAACUUCCAAGAACCCUUGAGACUUUCUCAGCUGGUGUUUCGAAAGGCUGAACUCUGAGCUCCCUGCUGCCCCUGGGCACUGUGCUGACAGGUGGGGGCGGAGGCCAGAGCCUCUGUGAUGCACGCAGUUGAGAGCCCCAGACGCCUUGCCCGGGUGGAGUGAGUGAACCUUCUUACAACCUGUCUCUUACAACCUGUCUUAACCUUGGCUCCUCUGGCCAAGAAUCUCCGCUUCCCAUCUCCUGGGCACCCCUUCCCUCCGCCCCGAUCAAACGGUAGCAACCUCAGGGUGGUGACUCGCGGAGGAGAUGGAAUCCCUGGGCAGGAAGCGCAGGACGAAGUAAUGACACAUUUUAAGCUGUGUCACAGUGGGCCAGCCCCUGCCCUUGUCAUGACCUCCCACUUCCUAAAUUAGAACGGGGGUGG